rnacentral:lncRNA from 1 species
UUUUUUACAUAAAUGGAAUUGCACUAUAUAGUUCUGUAGCUCAGUUUUUAAAAUUUGGUAUUAAAAUGUUCUUUCAGUUAGGGCCAAAGGGCAUUUAACUUCAAGGUAAGACCCAUUCCAGGACGGCAGAGAUCAUGUCUGUCUUGCGUAUCCCUGUGUGAAUUUUGCCUGACAUGUUGCAAACACUCCGUAUGGAAGUCUUGAGGGUCUUCUGCCCCAGUCAGAAAACCUCUGGGAGAACAGUUAUCCCCAGACCUCAGACGCUCGACGGAUACAUGAGAAGCUUUCUUUGAUGGAUUCGAUGUCAGGAUCUCCAUGUGAACUUCCACUUAGAGGUGUCAUGCUAUGUAAAUGGGAAAGAAAUUCAUACACAGUAACUAUCAAGCUCGCCAUUAAAAUGCCCUAUUAAGGUAUUAUCUGAGAAUUUAGAAGAAGGUAAUAGUGCCUUAGGGUACCUAAUACAGGUUUUUUUACAUUCUUAUGGCAUUGCAUUUAGGAUCAUCUAAAGUAUAAAGGCCUAAGGGGAAAGAACAAGAAACUGGGAAUUUGCAGUCCUGGAUUGUUUUCUUAAAUCUACUAAUUACCUACUGGGUAACUUUGAGAAAACACAACCUGUUAAUGGUUAGCCAUUUCAGUUUCUCUACCCAUAAAAUAAGCCAUAAAUUAUCUACACCCAUGCAAAAGUGCUGGGAGAAGAAAUGUUCAAAUGAAAGGUAUUGUAAAAUUAUAACAUGGUUUUACAAAGUUUAAAAGCUGCUCUGACCUCCACUUAAAUUUACAUGAUGUCAGACUUCCACAGAGAGGGUCUCCAAUAGAACUAGUCUUAGAUGCAGUCGUGUGUUUUCUUUUAGCUACUCAAAAUGAGUAACUAAGAAAGGUGUUUUAUAAAUCCAAUCUAUUUUCUUGAGAAAAUGAAUGGUUUACGUGUAACAUAUACCUAUCAUGUUAAAAGACUUUAUUGUGAAGAUAAGAAUGUUGACUGAGAGCCUCUUCCUUUCUAUUUAUAUCCCAUCUCUUGUCAGCAUGGUGCCUGUCCCCUUCUGGGCUGCCAGAGACUCCCUGCUUCUCCUUGACUGGUUAUAAAACUGCCAGUCUUUUGCCUUCCCGGGCCACAUUUAAGCUGUUCUGAGUUCUUGAAUCUGCCAGAACAACCUGUGAUUUGGAUUAAGGUUGUAUCAAGAAACUCAAAGACCCUGAGACAAAUGUGGUUAAAAGCAGAUAUUUUCUUGAUGUAGGAUUGGGGACCAACAUCACAAGCUUUAUUGAGGAGGCAUUCCAAGAGAGCUGACCACACCAAAACAGUCUCAUGUGUUCUGAAGGGCUAUGGUUUCCCUGCUGCAUGGCUGGAGUCAUUCUUCCCUCACAAAGCACAUUGUGCUUUAUAGAUGCAGAGAGAAUACACUUUGACCUCUAAUUCAGGCAUGGAAACAAGCAGUGCUGAGCUGGUCUCUGGUGACUCCCAGGGUCUGGAACCACUGGACAGAGCAAGGUUGGGGUGGGCUUUGAUGACCUCUUUCUGAGGUUCUAGGCUAACAAACUAAUCACAAGGAAUGGGCGACUCGUAGUGCUGCCUGGGAGGCAGAUGAUACACUUGCAUUUUCCUUUUUCCAUGGUGAGGCAGUUCCUCACUUUGAGAGAACCAUGAUUCUCAUGGCAUGUAUUUCUUAUUUUCUUUAGCUCCCUGUGCCAAACUCUCUCCUCAGAACCUGUCACAGCCUUAGCCACUAUAGAUGCUCAACAAAUAUUUGUUGAAUAAACAAAUAAAACAUCGCUUCCUUAUUCUUCUGUUGGUAUUCCAUUAAAAAAUGGAUACCCCACUUACAAGAACUUCAGAAGAACUUUCCCAUUCUAAAGUUCCCAGAAAUCCAAAUGGACAAAAUAUUUCCAUUUUAAUUUUUAAAGAUCAGAAGAAUGCAGUGACCACAGUUUAUAUUUUCCCUCCUAUUCUCCUCAGGGCCUGUGUUGCUCAUUUAAAUGCAAUUUGACGUAUGUUUGGGUCAGUGGCCUCAGUCCGGAGGCUCUUACAGUAACUUGGCACUGUGGAAAUCCCAGAACUUCGGCCAGGGUCUGGAGGAGACGCGUGGGGUUGGGGGCACUGAGGGCCACUCUCAUUAAGCCUCAGGCAGUGGUCCGGCCUGCCUUGGGCAGGAGAUCUCUGGACUAGUUAGCUUGGUUUAGCAUGGAAACAGUCAGCAAUGCCUGAGAAAGCCACGAGGCUGGUCAAGAUGACUAGGAAGAUUAUAAACCAGAAAACUUCCGCCUUGGUAUUUGAAAACCACAUGGAAUUUUACAACAUUCUUGCCUAUUAACUGCUGGGAAGGGCACUACCUUAUUGCCUUGUGCAUAAUGGAACCAAUCUUUCCCCUCAGAGGCCCCCGUGUUGCUUUGAUCAAGUUCAAAAGAUGAGGGGAAUGAUGACUAAGGGCCUUGGGAACCAGACUGAAGAAUCUCACAGACAUACUCCAGGGUUUUUUGGGGAUUGUUUGUUUUCUUUUCUGACGCAUCAUUUUGGUAAACAAUUCCUAUAGUCUGUGCACUUAUCAAAUUCCUUACCCAAAUAUUUGCUAUUUAUAAAAUAAUCAAGGAAACAGACUUGUGUUUAUUAUUCCUAAAUCAGCCACAGUUUGAUGAAUUAAAAACAGUCUUACUUUUUCCUCCUUCCUCUCCCUUUACCAGCCUCUUGUAAAAGUGCCAGCAUUAUACACCCAACUCUCUCUUUAGACAGUAAAAAUGAAAAAUAAAAGUGACCUUCGUGAACUGUGCAUUGCCUCUGCAUAGUCUGUUAGACUUCGGGCCAGCAGCCAACCCCCCUUAGCACCAGAGGUAGAUCUUUGGAAGCGAUUGAGUUGGAAAGGGAUACAGUAAAUGUCUGUUUCCGGUUCACAGGGGCCUCAGCGUCACCACAUCGUUUGGACGUCUGACCAGUUUCCUGACUUUGAGAGUCUCUUACUUUAAACAUGAGGGAUCAGCCCUAGAAAGGAAAGGAAAGACACACGCAAGAGUCUGCCUCUGACUCCACCGGCGGCCACUCUCAGGAUGGGUCCUCCAGACGGGAUUUAAACAGAACUGUUUUGAUAGGGACAGUGCUUUCUGUUGCUGUCCUGGGGCAGGGUGAUGGCGAGGACACAGGGUGCUUUCAGAUCCUCUGCGUGGACAAGACCAGCUCUGGGCCAGCUUCCAGGAAGCCCCACUGGUAGCGACAGAACAUGUCCAAUUCAGAAAGCCCUUCAGGGCUGGUUCAACUGGAUAUCGUAUUUAAAUGGAUCUAUUUAUAUUUCAUAUGUGUGAAAGAAAGGCUUUGUUGGAUGAACACAUUUACACUUUUCUUUUUUUUUUUUUUUUUACUGAUUAAAAUUUUAUUAUUUUGGCCAGGUGUGAGACCCUGUCUCAAAAAAAAUUAUUUUUUCUAAUUUGCAAAUUGUAAUGUUUUAUUUUUUAUUUUUUGUAGGUACAUAGUAGGUGUAUAUAUUUAUGGGAUACGUGAGAUGUUUUGAUACAGGCAUGCAAUGUGAAAUAAGCACAUCAUGGAGAAUGAGGUAUCCAUCCCCUUGAGCAUUUAUCCAAUCACACUCUUUAAGUUAUGUUAAAAUGUACAAUUAAGUUAUUAUUGACUAUAGUCACCCUAUUGUGCUAUCAAAUAGGUCUCACUCAUUCUUUCUAUUCUUUUGUACCCAUUAACCCCACUUAAACUUUUCUUUCUGAAAGAGACAAACUUGCUAAAUUAUCAUGAGAGAACCAAAGAAUUCUAAUGAAUCAUUUUAUUUAAAAAAUAACUACAGUUAUCCUUUACCAAACUAAAAUUCCAGGUCUGCAACAACUUCGAUUUGGCACAGAGUUGCUGCAAAGCUUAAUGUGUAUAUUUACACACUUCAGCCCUCUUAAAAGCCAUCCUACUAUUGAUGUCCCCAUCGAGUCCUUAGUUUCCUAUGUUUCUAUGUUUCUAAGUGGAACAGCAAGUCUCACCUACCUUUAGAGUCCACGCUCUAAUUGCUUUCAUUCCUUUAUAAUAUGCUGAGCUCACUUAAAAGCUGGUUUCGGCCGGCUGUGGUGGCUCACGCCUG